rnacentral:rRNA from 1 species
AAUGAACGUUGGCGGCGUGGAUUAGGCAUGCAAGUCGAGCGAGAACCCCGCAAGUGGGGACAGCGGCGAAAGGGACAGUAAUGUGUAGAUUAUCUGCCCUCAGGUCCGGGAUAGCUGCGGGAAACUGCAGGUAAUACCGGAUAACAUCUCCGGAUCAAAGGUGUGAUUCCGCCUGAGGAUGAGUCUGCAUCCUAUUAGCUAGUUGGUGGGGUAAUGGCCUACCAAGGCAUUGAUGGGUAGCAGGUGUGAGAGCACGACCUGCGUCAUUGGGACUGAGACACUGCCCAGACACCUACGGGGGGCUGCAGUCGAGAAGCUUCGGCAAUGGGCGCAAGCCUGACCGGGCGACGCCGCGGGUGGGAUGAAGGCCUUCGGGUUGUAAACCACUGUCAGAGGGGAUGAAAUGCAGGUGGGUUCUCCCAUCUGUUUGACAUAGCCUCAGAGGAAGGACGGGCUAAGUUCGUG